GAUGAACGCUGGCGGCGUGCCUAAUACAUGCAAGUCGAGCGAACGGACGAGAAGCUUGCUUCUCUGAUGUUAGCGGCGGACGGGAGUGUAACACGUGUAUAACCUACCUAUAAGACUGGGAUAACUUCGGGAAACCGGAGCUAAUACCGGAUAAUCUUCUGAACCGCAGGGUUCAAUAGUGAGAGACGGUGGUGCUGUCACUUAUCGAUGCAUCCGCGCUGCUUUAGCUAGUUGGUAAGGUAACGGCCUACCAAGGCAACGAUGCAUAGACGAACUGUGAGGGGGAUAGGCCACCUUAGAGCGUAGACACGGUCCAGGCGACUACGGGACGCAGCAGUAGGGUAUCGUACGCAAUAGGCGAGAGCCUGACAGAGCAGCGCCGCGUGAGUGGCAGAGGUCCCCGGAUCGUAAUACUCGGUUAUGAGGGAUGAACCUAUGUGUAAGUAACUGUGCACAGCUUGACGGUACCUAAUCAGAAAGCCACGGCUAACUACGUG
rnacentral:rRNA from 1 species